UGUUGGACCACAAGGACUUAGAGGCCGAA
rnacentral:piRNA from 1 species